rnacentral:rRNA from 1 species
GAUAAAAGCUUACCAAGCCGACGAUCUGUAGCUGGUCUGAGAGGACGACCAGCCACACUGGGACUGAGACACGGCCCAGACUCCUACGGGAGGCAGCAGUGGGGAAUUUUGGACAAUGGGCGCAAGCCUGAUCCAGCCAUGCCGCGUGCAGGAUGAAGGCCUUCGGGUUGUAAACUGCUUUUGUACGGAACGAAAAGCCUCUUUCUAAUAAAGAGGGGUCAUGACGGUACCGUAAGAAUAAGCACCGGCUAACUACGUGCCAGCAGCCGCGGUAAUACGUAGGGUGCGAGCGUUAAUCGGAAUUACUGGGCGUAAAGCGUGCGCAGGCGGUAAUGUAAGACAGAUGUGAAAUCCCCGGGCUCAACCUGGGAACUGCAUUUGUGACUGCAUUGCUGGAGUGCGGCAGAGGGGGAUGGAAUUCCGCGUGUAGCAGUGAAAUGCGUAGAUAUGCGGAGGAACACCGAUGGCGAAGGCAAUCCCCUGGGCCUGCACUGACGCUCAUGCACGAAAGCGUGGGGAGCAAACAGGA